CUCUCAGACCACCUUCUACACAGCUGGGAAGUCUCCAUCCUUGACUACCAGGCAUUCAGCUCUGUGAAUAAAAGCAUUCUGCUGAUUUCUGCUGCCCUGUAUCCAGACGGAAGGAAUGGAUCCAUGUUGCAGCUGGGAGCAUGGGGAAAUCUGGACACGCACUUCACCAAAAUGAGACAACUGUGGCAGGAGACAGGCUAAGAGGGAAAAUCUGGACACAGAGCUGUAUACAUCCAGGGAGAACGUCAUCUGGAGAUGAAAGCAGAGAUCAGAGUGAUGCAGCUCCAAGACAUGGAAUGCUGAAGAUGGUGAGCAACCCACCAGAAGCCAGGAGAGAGGUAUAAACGGUUUCUCCCUCACAGCCCUUAGAAGCCACCAACCCUGCUGAUGCCUUGAUCUCUGAUCCUCAAGGAUGUGGAGUAGCUGUGUGAGAGGCUGUCUGAGGGCUCUUCAGAAAGUUCAUAGGAAAUGCAUAUUAUGAAAAAACUAUGCUGGAUUUCAAAUUUUUUGCACCAAAAUUGAUUUGUACUACCUUUUUAUAACAUGUUCAUGCACAAUCUAGUUUGAGGCACUAAGAAGGAUAAUACAUCAGUUUGAAAAGAGCCUCUAUCAGAGCAAUGUGAAUUUCUGCUAAAAUUGAAGUAAGAACAAACAUCAAAUUUAUAGUGAAGCUUGAGGGGAAGUAUGGUGAACUCAUUGAUGCUUUGUGAAAAGCUUAUGGGGACAAUACCCCCUUCCCCCAAAUCAGCAGUUUACAAAUAGAUAACUUCUUUUAAGAAGGGAGAAGUUGAGGCUGGGCACAGUGGCUAACGCCUGUAAUCCCAACACUUUGGGAGGCUGGGGCAGGUGAAUCACUUGAGGUCGGGAAUUCAAGACCAGCCUGGUUAACAUGUGAAACCCCAUCUCUACUAAAAAUACAAAAAAAA
rnacentral:lncRNA from 1 species